rnacentral:tRNA from 1 species
UACAUUUAAGUAUAAUAUGUAUAAAAGUUUUUGAUACUUUAGGGGACAGGUAUUUACUGUCAAAUGUAA